GAAGGUUGCAAUUUGAUUGGAGGGAUUUACUGCAUGGACUGAUGUCUACUUAUACCAACGUUCAACACAGCCUUCUCUGCAUCGGAAAGCAGAAGCUCAAUCUUUCCAUGGCUCACACCUCUAAGUCUUCCAACUCCUGCACCACCAAGCCCGCCACCAACAAAAUAGACCAUGGUCAAAAACACAAGGAAGUUGUAACUCACCCUCAUCACCACCCUCAUCAUCACCCUCAUCACCAGCCUCAUCAUCAGCCUCAUCACCAGCCUCAUCACCAGCCUCAUCACCACCAUACCGAGGCCACCAACGAGUUGGGAAAAGGAGUAAAAGUCCAAGUGACAAACAUAGAAACCAUCGAGUUGGGAAAUGGAGGAAAAGUCCAAGUGACAAACAAAGAAACCAUCGAGUUGGGAAAAGGAGAAAAAGUCCAAGUGACAAACAAAGAAACCAUCGAGUUGGGAAAAGGAGAAAAAGUCCAAGUGACAAACAAAGAAACAGUUUUCAAAGGUGGGAAAUCUGCUUAUACCAAGUAAUUCCUUGCAAGUUUCCAGUUUAUAAAGAAGUUUGCUGCUGCAGAUGUGAAGAUAUCCAUACUGGGUUAAUCAGAACUUGAAUAUGUCAGAAGAAUUAUGCCUAAUUUUUUCUUUUUUCGGUUGCAUUACUUGGUUGACAAAGUAAUAUCUUUAUUAUAAUAGUGGUUCCAAUCGAUGUUUUUACUUUUUAGUCUUGUCUUGUGUUGGUUGAAUGUCGGUCCAAUAGUCGUUUAUAUUAUGGCUGAAUCAGUUUGAUCUGCCAGUUAAACCUCAUCUGUUUCAAUUUCUGGCCAAUCCGAUCUGAAUCGGAUUUGACAUUGUCUUCGGUCAGGCCGAUCCGAUUCAGGUUUUUUAACAAGAGUGGUUCAAUUUCCUGGUAUAUCAAAUGAAAAUUUGCGCAAUA